rnacentral:misc_RNA from 1 species
AACUCGAUAGUCACAGUACAAAGAGCAGAAAGCAGCAAAAGCUGAAAAUUUCAUCACCUCUAUUCGAUUUCGAGGUUCACAAUCGGUUCAACUAAAGAGAAAAUCACUUGCAAAGUUUCAACUUCUUGAAAAACAAUGCCACAAUUGAUUUGGGAUAAGGCUUGGUUGCAAGGCAGGUAGGAAUAUUUUCGGGUUGUUCAAUCCACAGCUUAUGAGCAAUGCCUCCAGCGCUGAGCUUCUCUGACAAGUUCAACAACUGUGCUUCUCCUUUCACUUCAAGAGUAACCUUUUUCAUUCACAAAAUUCUGAUUCAUCAUUUAAUUAUACCAUUCUCAUUCUAAAAACCAAAUUGGGAGUUCAAAUUUCACAGAUAAAUGAUCCAAAAUCGUACCUUAUGCAUUGAAUCGAUGUUUUCAGGGCUACAAUAUUGAAGAGUGUCAGGAUCUUCUUUGUUGGCCCAAACUGCACUAACAGAGGCAUGGCAUCCCUGAGUCACCACGCUCCCCAGCGGCCAUGUUUCAAUUACGUCUCGCCGCAACACCACGUACUGCACCACCACGUCCUCCGACUUUUCGCCUUUCAAAUCAGCGGCAUCAUUCUGAGAAUUGGCCGCCUCCUCCGCCGCAUCAGAUGUGAGAUGAUUCAUUGAGUUCGAGCAAAGUCGAGUCAGUGACCAAUUCGGGAAACGUUGGGAAAGAGAGGCAAGAUUGCCGCCAACCCUAAUUUUAUUUCGCCAAAGAGUGAAACGAGGGAAGCAGAGAAUGAAACGACCCGGGCAGAGAACAGUCGUCAUUGGGGUAAUAUAGUAAUUUG